UUCAAUGGUGAUUCAGGUGGGGGAGGCUAUGCCUCGCUGGUGUGAACCCAGUCCGCGAACCCUGUCUGAAUCACCACCAUC
rnacentral:antisense_RNA from 1 species